rnacentral:rRNA from 1 species
AUACGAACUGUGCAAACGUUAUUCGGAAUCACUGGGCUUAAAGCGCGCGUAGGCGGACUUGAAGGUCCGAUGUGAAAUCCCACGGCUCAACCGUGGAAUUGCGUCGGAAACCACAAGUCUUGAGGGAGUCAGAGGUAAGCGGAACUGAUGGUGGAGCGGUGAAAUGCGUUGAUAUCAUCAGGAACACCGGUGGCGAAAGCGGCUUACUGGGACUUUUCUGACGCUGAGGCACGAAAGCUAGGGGAGCGAACGGGAUUAGAAACCCUAGUAGUCC